UUUUCCAGAGCCAGAGGGGUUGCUGCUUCCUCUUCCUCUCUGCGGCCGCCAUUGAAGAAGCUCAUCAGUGACGCCUCUGAUAUUUGGUGAACAUCCUUGGUACCAUUGAAAGGUCUGGCACCAAGGAAUUUAUGGAAGCCUUGGCUGCUGGUGCUUCUCUUGUUGCAGAUAAGGUCAUUGUUACCACCAAGCACAAUGAUGAUGAGCAGUAUGUGUGGGAGCCACUCCGAUUCAAUAUUUAUGAGGUUUUUCCUUUUGCCUUUGCGAUUGUAUCUAGUGAAACUGUAGACAAUUGGAGGUGGUUUCUACAAAGGAUAUCGGAUGUCUUGCUAGG